ensembl:lncRNA
CUCAUGAUGAGGAAUAACUUGUGCUUUUUCAAGUCUUGACAUGAAUUCUAUGCUUUUUUUGCUAAGUCCUUCCAAAAUUCUGUCUUACCUAGAUCUUUCUUAUUGGCUGUUUCGGGGUCUUAGAUGAAAGAGGCAGCCUAGUUUCCAUGCAUACUGAAUGCAUGGAUGGUGGAUCCUAAACCUGGUAGAACAUCUAGAAGGUCACGUGGGUGGUAUCUAGGAGGUCACAUGGGAGACACCUUGGUCUCCAUCCUCCUCCUAUUGAUUUCUGUUUGAUGUUAUUAUGCUCAUAUCUUUCAUAAGCUGAAGUGGGUUCAUUGGUCUUGUGUUUUCCAAACACAUUUUAGCAUCUUAAACCAUAACUGUUUACCACCCACUUGCCCAUUAGGGCAAAUUAAGAACUCAUUUUCACAAAGUGGGAGGCAGGUUAGCUAAGUAUGACAAAUGCUAUAUAUCUUUUCUCUGUUUUGGCACAGUAUUCCAGAAUACCUUUUAAAAUGACCAACACCAGAGUCUACUACUGCUCAAAAUACUUCUGGUAGCGAGAAAUGUUGGAAAACCAGAGGGCCUAUCUUUAGAUGCUUGGUGACAUACUAGAGGCUACAAAGCAUGCUUCCUGCUGAGAAUCAAGGCAAUUACUGCUGCCUGGAUGGUUUGUACCAAAUUAUGGAUCACAUUGACCCCAAUGGCCAUAGCCGAAGCCCUUGGACAUGCUCAGAAGCUUCCAUUAUGUCACCAAGAAUGUGGAAAUUUAAGAUGGGUCUUCUUCUGCCAUUGAUCUUUCCUCCCACCUGUUCUUCUCACAACUGCAAGGUAAAUGUGGAAAAGGAAGGAAACUUUAAGCAAGAAAAACCGGGCAGGGAUGGUUGUAACCAAGAGAUGUAACCAAAAGGCAAACUGAGGAUAAAAAGGGAGAGGCAAAAGUCAUCAUCUGUUCACAUUUGGGACAUUUGAACAGCUUGUGAAUUAAGGUAAGUGGAAUGAAACUAGCUGGCCUCCUCCUGCUGUGGUAUAGUGUUAAUUUGAAGUGUAGGAGUUUUAUCAUGGCAGCCUCCAUAGUUACACCCCCAAGUCCAUGUUCCUGCUCUCAAGGAAUUUCCAGGAAGGGAGAAAACAGUGUUGAUCUAUUCUCUCUCUCUCAACAGCAUGUAAUAGGAUCAGUAUGUCUGCAGCAGGCAUGGCCAAACUUGGUCCUCCAGUUGUUUUGGGACUACAACUCCCAUCAUCCCUAGCUAACAGGACCAGUGGUCAGGGAUGAUGGGAAUUGUAGUCCAAAAACAGCUGGAAGGCCAAGUUUGGCCAUGCCUGGUCUACAGCCUCAUGCAAAGGAACUCCACCUGUUGAAACCCAACCUUUAUUUAGAAAGGCAAACUAUCUUGCAAAAAAAGUGUAACUAUACAAAGUACUAGUGUGAAGUAGAAUUCAGCCUCUGCUUGGUAUUUUCCUCACAUGAAUCUGUACCAAACAAACUUGAAAGGCUCAUUAUUCCUUCAUUCAGUUGCCAGAGCAAGGAAAGUCCAUUCAUUAUCCUAGUGCCGCACCAGAUGAUGAUGUCACUCCUGCUCUGGAGAGAAAACACACACAUGCAGUGACACCCUUGAGUCUCAUGUGCUCUUCCUACGCAGGAUAUUGCCACAGAGGUUUCCCUGUACUAAAUAGUUUGUGCCCCACAGGGGGAAAAGGGUCUCAUCUGCGCUGGCCCCUAUUUUCUACUCCAAAUUCCCCUUUCUCUGCCUUUCUGGCUGCCACUCUCACUCUGCCUUCUCUGUUUGGGCCCACAGCAGACUUUAGGGCUAGCAUCACCCUUCCUCCAUUUGUGCCUUGGUCCCACAGCGUGAUAAUUAUAACCCACAUUACUAUGCGCUUUGUGUAAAGAAAGUCUAUUCUAGUUGAGAAGGCGAACAUAUACGGAACCACUUAUCCAUGCCCGGGUCUGAUGGAGCAGUGCUGCUGCUGCUGCAGUGCUGGAAUUUUGCAGCAUUUCUUUCUUUCUUUGAUGAAAUUAAGGAAGUGGGUAGCUUCUGGUGCAAUGUUUGCAACAGGCAGAGUGACCAAAAAAUAAUAAAGGGGGGGGGGGAGAGCAGCUACCCAGAAACUGGCAAGAUCUCUCAAUAUUAGGCAGGAUUGGACUUCCACCAGCGGCACCCCCUCAGAUCCCUCCAUUGGGUGACUCUGCUCUGCAUUGGCGAGCGUCUAAAUCCUUUCCCACUUCAAGCUUCCCCUGUGCACACAUUUCGAUCUAUGCUAUUUCCCCCCCUGUAAGUGCCACUGCUCCGCCGUACAAGCUGGCACACACCGGCCUCCUGGGCGACCGCCGUGGCUUCUCUCUCUCUUUCCCCGGGAGCGAGGUCUGCCCCGGGGGGCGAAGUGGGCGUGUGCGCGCGGGGCAGCGGAGACGGCGCCUCGGGGCCAAAGCCAGGCGGUGGGCGAGGCGAGGGCGCCCAGGGUAGGGUAGGGAGGGGUGGCCUUUGGCACUCCCGACGCCGACGCCGUCUCCUUCGGCCCCUCGGCGCGAUAUGAAGGGUCUGAACGGUGCGGGCGGCGGGAAAAGAAGGCAAGGGGCAGGCGGGGCUAAAGCAGAAGGUCUGCAGAUGACCGCAGGCAGUAACUCACGCGCGCAGCCAGGGACGUCUUCUGCCGCCGCCACGCCAACUCCCGCCUCCCACGAGCAUGAGGAGGGGGAAGAAACCCACGCGAGUCGUUUCCUCCGCGCAGCCUGAAGGGCGGCUGAGCGAGAGAGCAACGUGGAUUGAUCCAUUCGCUUAGUGCUGAGCGGGUGGAAGGGAGGGGGAAGGCGAAAAAGCAGCCUCGAGAGGGGAAGGACUCUCUCUCUCUCUCUACGCCCCCCCUCUUUUUUAAUGUUAUUUUUACACGCAGCUCCUUCGGCAGCGAAGAAGCCGUAGGAAUGGGUGGCAGCAGAGCCGCGGCUGCUGCGCCCCAGUUGGUGGCAAGGCGCCGCUGAGGGACUCUUCUUCUCCUUCUCUCUCCCUCGGGGACGCACGCCAUACGCGGCGCGCACCCACAGAGCAACUCCUCAGGCGCGACGAGGCAGCUCGCUCUCGGGGUGUUUUUUGCCCCCCCCCCCCCGCUUCUGAGGGAAGGAAGGACGGCAAGAGGAGGAGGCUGGUGGGGAAGAAAGAAGACCUGCCCAGCGAUGCCUUUGUGCCCGCGAGAGGCGAGGAAAGGGCGCCAAAAAGCGGCCGCCCGCCUGGCGGACUGCGGCUAGUUUGCGCCGAAUCCGCCGCCUCUCUUCUCGCCUCCUUCCCCCCCCCCCCACCCGCGCAACUUCCAGGAGCGGAUUAGGAAGAGGAGGACGAUGCCCGAUUGAGCUGCUUGCUGCUGGAAGGUAAAAAGAUAAGGUGAUGGUGAUAGCCCUGCUCCUCCUGUACGUGGCGGGGUCCUGCUGGGUUUGAGUAGGGGAAGGAAGAGUUGAUUUCUCCCCCCCCCCAAAAAAAAGAGGGAGACGGGGUGGCUGGGGUGGGGAGGGGAAAAAAAGAAGGUGGUCCAAAAGAGCAAAUGUGUUUGUGUGUGUUGGAAACAAGGGGAGGGAAACAAAAGUAAGAGCGGAGAAGAGAAGAGGAAGGUUGGAGAAGAGAAUAGAGGGAAGGGUGCAGCAGUCCUACCAAGUCCUUCCACCUUCUUUCUUUUUCUCCUCCCUUCCCCUCAACCCUACAAACUGC